GCUCGGAGGUUAGCCCAGGGUCUCAAGACCCACAAGAGAAAGGAUACCUCAACUUCGGGGUCAGUGAAGAAAGCCAGGUCAAAGGGGACAAGCUCGGCCGCACCUGCUCCGACGCCCGUCGUCGUUGAGGUCCCCUCCAACGUCGAACUUGAAGUCCCCCGAACCCUUUCACAUAGCCCCCCGGUCGAGGGUCCCGUUUUGGAGGUUCGUCUGAGGGGGCGCCUGGGGCCA
rnacentral:lncRNA from 1 species